rnacentral:rRNA from 1 species
AUGCAGUCGAACGGCUUCUAGAAACUAGAAUCGAGAAGCUAGAACUGAUUUAAAUNUCUAGUUUUAGAAUCUGGAUUCUAAUUUCUAGAGGUAGUGGCGGACGGGUGAGUAACGCGUGAGCAACCUGCCUUACAGAGGGGGACAACAUUGGGAAACCGAUGCUAAUACCGCAUAACACAUAUCUACCGCAUGGUAGAAAUGUCAAAGAUUUAUCGCUGUAAGAUGGGCUCGCGUCCGAUUAGAUAGUUGGUGAGGUAAUGGCUCACCAAGUCUGCGAUCGGUAGCCGGACUGAGAGGUUGAACGGCCACAUUGGGACUGAGAUACGGCCCAGACUCCUACGGGAGGCAGCAGUGGGGGAUAUUGCACAAUGGGGGAAACCCUGAUGCAGCAAUGCCGCGUGAGGGAAGAAGGUCUUCGGAUUGUAAACCUUUGUUUUUAGUGACGAAAAAAAUGACGGUAGCUAAAGAGAAAGCUCCGGCUAACUACGUGCCAGCAGCCCGCGGUAAUACGUAGGGAGCGAAGCGUUGUCCCGGAUUUACUGGGUGUAAAAGGUGC